UGCAAGUCGAGCGAACAGAUAAGGAGCUUGCUCCUUUGACGUUAGCGGCGGACGGGUGAGUAACACGUGGGUAACCUACCUAUAAGACUGGGAUAACUUCGGGAAACCGGAGCUAAUACCGGAUAACAUUUGGAACCGCAUGGUUCUAAAGUGAAAGAUGGUUUUGCUAUCACUUAUAGAUGGACCCGCGCCGUAUUAGCUAGUUGGUAAGGUAACGGCUUACCAAGGCGACGAUACGUAGCCGACCUGAGAGGGUGAUCGGCCACACUGGAACUGAGACACGGUCCAGACUCCUACGGGAGGCAGCAGUAGGGAAUCUUCCGCAAUGGGCGAAAGCCUGACGGAGCAACGCCGCGUGAGUGAUGAAGGGUUUCGGCUCGUAAAACUCUGUUAUUAGGGAAGAACAAACGUGUAAGUAACUGUGCACGUCUUGACGGUACCUAAUCAGAAAGCCACGGCUAACUACGUGCCAGCAGCCGCGGUAAUACGUAGGUGGCAAGCGUUAUCCGGAAUUAUUGGGCGUAAAGCGCGCGUAGGCGGUUUCUUAAGUCUGAUGUGAAAGCCCACGGCUCAACCGUGGAGGGUCAUUGGAAACUGGGAAACUUGAGUGCAGAAGAGGAAAGUGGAAUUCCAUGUGUAGCGGUGAAAUGCGCAGAGAUAUGGAGGAACACCAGUGGCGAAGGCGACUUUCUGGUCUGUAACUGACGCUGAUGUGCGAAAGCGUGGGGAUCAAACAGGAUUAGAUACCCUGGUAGUCCACGCCGUAAACGAUGAGUGCUAAGUGUUAGGGGGUUUCCGCCCCUUAGUGCUGCAGCUAACGCAUUAAGCACUCCGCCUGGGGAGUACGACCGCAAGGUUGAAACUCAAAGGAAUUGACGGGGACCCGCACAAGCGGUGG
rnacentral:rRNA from 1 species